GAUUAAAACAAGUUUCUGAAAUCGCUUUUAAUGUUUUCCUUUAACACAUCAAUCUCUACAGAGAAUAAAUUUAGAUCUUAAGUAUAUUGUAUUAAGUUCACACAAAGACUCCUUAAUUUUCGAUUUCUGCAAGAAUUUUUUUUGUAUGUUUCGACAAAUACCUGUAGCCAUCACAAGCUUUUCAUGAAAAAGCCCAACACUGGAAGGCCGGGGACACAUGUGGGACCCAAAACCCGAGCCCACUGCACAUACAAACACUUGGCACGCUCAACCCAGACCUCAAUUCUGCAAUGGCUGUCUCUACAAUGUUCCACACUUUUGCACUACCCUUUCACCUUCCCAAAACCUUCUCAUGCGCUUCGCCAAUGGCUACAACAGCAUCACCAUCUCCGCGUGCAAUUGGGUGCGAUUGCGGCGUUUCAAUCAAGGGCAUAUUAUACCCUGCACUCUCUCAUUCCAACACGCUUUACUUCAAAUCAGCGUACAACGUGCAGAUCGUAGUGGGCGAUGACGAGCCCGAAGAUAGAAUCGUUUAUCGCUUCAAGAAGGAGGUUCUCAAGGCUGGGGUGCUUCAGGAGUGUAGACGUAGAAGGUUCUUCGAGAACAAACACGACAAGAUCAAAAGGAAAGCUCGCCAAGCUUCUAGAAGGAACCGAAAGAGGAAGCCACUGUCGAGAGCUUUGGCACAAAAUAAACACGAUUCUGAAAAGAAAAAGAAUGCUGAUCACGAUGAUGAUACUGGUAUUGAUAAUUGGGAACUACCUGAGGUAGAUAUUCCAUACACUUGACUUGAUGUUCAUGUGCAGGAACAAACAGAGAAUAGAAAAUAUGACACUCUCUAUUAACUUCGAUGUCAGUCCCUCAAUCUUAGUUGUAGGAAUCAAAAUUUCUGGUUGGGGAGGAAGAAGGGAGGGAAAGAAGAUGGAAAGACCAAAAGAGGGCAAAGAGCCAAUAUGCAAAGAAUGCAAUUUCAUAUUAUUUGAUGAUGAGUGAGGUCAAUUUAUACUUGAUAGAGAAGGGGGAUUUAACUGCGCAUUUAGGCUAACAGAGUGAGCUAACUCACUGACAUGGUGAUAAUGUAGUCACCAGAACUCACAAAUAUUUGAAUAGCCACUUCACUGUUGGGAGCGUUUGAAGCCUGUAAAUGUGUGAUAUAGCUUGUAUUUGUUUGCACAUUAGCGACAGGGGAAAAUGCAGAAGCAAGAGAUAAUUGCUUCUGUCUACAAAACAGAAGCAACAAAUACUUGCUUCUGUCUAUAAAACAUGCACGUUGAUGUCCCCAUCAUUAGUUCUCCAAAAAUUGUGACCCGGUUUCUGUAUUUAUAGUUAAAUUUGCAAGCAUAAGUUUUUUUUUUUUUUUUUUUUACAUUUGUGCAGUCAGGGCUGACCCAUGCUAUUAGCUGGGGAUAUGCCUCUCUUACCAGAAAGUGUUACAGUAUUAUAUGAACAUAUGUAAUUCUUUAAUAACCCUUAUAAAGUUUAAUUGAAU